GCAGUAGUGCUUAAGAAGAAGAACAACUUUAUUGAAAAAUAAAACGCUCAAUGGGUGGAGCCCCUGGGCAAGGGCCCCACUG
rnacentral:lncRNA from 1 species